rnacentral:lncRNA from 1 species
GGAGCGGGGGGAUGUAAAGGAGGGUGGGAAAGGAUGAGACAGAAGGAUGGAAUGGUACACAGAAUGUCACUGCCUGGUUGAAGCGUAGAGGAACACGUUUGGAAAGGAAGGAUGGGGGGAUGAACAGGGUGAAAAGCUGAUUUCUAAACAGUCUUCCACUCCUGCUCUGGGGAGUUGUUCUCCUUCCAGAACCAGCUGCUGCUAAGUUGCUAUGGAGACGUCAUGGUGCUCGGAACAGGAUGACGGCUGAGUUCCAUUCCGGAAUCUCACUCCCUUCAGUCCCUAGACUAGUCACUGAGGGGGCAGAGGGGAUGGGUGCGGCCCAAAUAGCACCCUAGACCCCAGUGAUCAUCAACUAGAUUCAGCCAUAGGCUGAUUUAAUUUUUUAUUUUAUUUUCUUGAGUGGCUGGUCAGGGGGCCUGAAUAUAAUUACAUAGAAUUUGUGGACUGCAAAUUGAAUACAACAAGCCCAAACAGAUAGACUAUUUGACUAAAACAUAAUCAUUUCAAACCUUGCUUACAUUUGUGUACAAUCACAUAUCUCUCUAUUAUGCCUGGGAAUAUUUGUAGAAUACGGAAAUGUAAAAUCAUUUGGAGCUGAAAGACAGUGUUUUUACAAGCUUGUAUGUUCCAAAAUAAAAGCCCUAUGGUCCCUGGUCACUAUAGGGAAUAGGCUGCCGUUUGGGACGUAAACCGAUGAGGUGAGGAUUUUCAUCAUGGAGUGGAGCCUUCAUCUCCUCAACACGUGGACAUCAUAAUGACAUCAUAAAGAACCUUCACGCUCCAUCCUCUGAUGUCACCUAGCGAUGUCAAAGCAUUCUGUUCAAACAAACAUUGUUCUGUAAAACUGGUUUACUGCAGCUGUAUAUUUUUGAUACAACGCUAUGCCUACGGACAUAAAAGGAAAAGUUGUCUUUUUACCUGUAGACAUUGAGUAUUUUUUUCUGGGUGGGUAAUGUACAGGUACUAGUAGUUUUUAACAUGUGCACAGGAUGGGGUACAGUCCCUAAUGGCACCCUAUUCCCUUUCUAGUGCACUACAUUUAACCAGAGCCCUAUGGCUAAUGGCACCCUAUUCCCCAGCUAGUGCACUACGUGGGGGGAGAGGGGGGUUAGGGUGUGGUUUGGGACUCCUUGUGUUUUUAUAUGUAAAGGUAUAUAUUUUAAAGCUAGAUGGCUGAGUCCUGUAAGGGCUGAAAUCUGUUUUCAGGCAGUCCAUGCUUCUCCAGGAGACGCUUUAUGUCUAUUAUCCCGUUCAACUGCCUCUGGCUGUUUGUCCCAAAGGGCACCGUGUUCUCUAUAUAGUGUGAUACGUUUCACCAGGGUUCAUAGAGCUCUGGUCAGAAGUAGUGUACUAUAUAGGGUAUAGUGUGCACUUUGGGACAUACCCUCUUACUUAUGUCCAACCCUAACCCCUUACACCCUAGGUUGAAACCCUAACCCCUACACCCUAGGUUGAACCCUAAUCCCUACACCCUAGGUUGAACCCUACACUCUAGGUUGAAACCCUAACCCCCUACACUCUAGGUUGAAACCCUAACCCCCUACACUCUAGGUUGAAUCCUAACCCCCUACACUCUAGGUUGAAUCCCCUCUACACUCUAGGUUGAAACCCUAACCCCCUACACUCUAGGUUGAAUCCUAACCCCCUACACCCUAGGUUGAAUCCUAACCCCCUACACUCUAGGUUGAAUCCUAACCCCCUACACUCUAGGUUGAAUCCUAACCCCCUACACUCUAGGUUGAAUCCCCUCUACACCCUAGGUUGAAUCCUAACCCCCUACACUCUAGGUUGAAACCCUAACCCCCUACACUCUAGGUUGAAUCCUAACCCCCUACACUCUAGGUUGAAACCCUAACCCCCUACACUCUAGGUUGAAACCCUAACCCCCUACACUCUAGGUUGAAUCCUAACCCCCUACACUCUAGGUUGAAACCCUAACCCCCUACACUCUAGGUUGAAUCCUAACCCCCUACACUCUAGGUUGAAUCCCCUCUACACUCUAGGUUGAAACCCUAACCCCCUACACUCUAGGUUGAAACCCUAACCCCCUACACUCUAGGUUGAAACCCUAACCCCCUACACUCUAGGUUGAAACCCUAACCCCCUACACUCUAGGUUGAAUCCCCUCUACACCCUAGUUUUGGAGUGGGGACUAGGGAUUGGUUUGGAAUUUGAAAACUGUCUGUCGAUCAUUAAUGUACUGCAACUCUCCCCAACUUCUCCCCUCAGACACCCAGGGCCUGUAUCUGUUUCAGAUCAAAGCUGCCCCAUAGCAGAGCACAGAUCUGGGAUCAGUUUACCCCUAACUUCUCCUCUCUGUCCCAGGGCCUGUAUCUGUUUCAGAUCAAAGCUGCCCCAUAGCAGAGCACAGAUCUGGGAUCAGCUUACCCCUAACUUCUCCUCUCUGUCCCAGGGCCUGUAUCUGUUUCAGAUCAAAGCUGCCCCAUAGCAGAGCACAGAUCUGGGAUCAGUUUACCCCUAACCCUGUGUU